rnacentral:tmRNA from 1 species
GGGGGUGUAAAGGUUUCGACGGGUAUAGGUGCCGUACGAUAAGCGAGCCGUGGUUCCAUCUGCACGUUAAUCGGUGGACGUUUAAAUUUAAACGCAGAUAACGAUUUUGCACUGGCUGCCUGAGUUCAGGUGACCCGUUCUGCCACUCCGGCUCCCGCAGGAGCGGACAGGACGACAUUUAGCGGGAUCGCCGGGUACUGACGUCCGUAAGUCCCGGUCAAAUCUACGGAAUAGCGAUUGCAAAGCCGGUCGGCAGGCGUUGUGAAAGCGAAACCCAGUAUGCUGUCUGCGCUCGGAGAAAUUCGUAAGACAAUAUGUUCGGACAAGGGUUCGACUCCCUUCACCUCCACCA